UUUCUAACAAUUGCAAUGGUCCUAAUUCAAAUUGCCAUGAUUGUUCUCUAGGUCUCAAGAGAGUGGAUUUUUUAAGAUAAUGAGGUCAUAGCAUUUGUGGAGGAUGUCCAGAAGAGGUCAAAGCAUGUGCCAGGAAAGGGGGUUUGUGGCAGGUCUCUUCUAAAUGCAGCAAAGGAGACUACACAGAAGAGCAGAAACACCACUGUUGAUGAGCAGGGUCUGGAAGUAGCAGUUUGCCGUCGUGGCAUUAUUCUUCGAGCAUUGAAUAUGUACAGGCAAGUAUUUCCAUUUCAGUACAUUGCCACUUGCUCAUUUAUUUAUUUAUUUUGAUACAGUUCAAUUUAUUUCAAACAACGUCAUCUUAUCAGGUUAGCACUUACAGUAGGGCUGAGGUAUUAUAUCGGCAUUGUUCAAAAUGUCAGCAUCUACAAUGGCGGAGAUGACCAUAACAGUUAACAUAACAG